rnacentral:rRNA from 1 species
AUUGAACGCUGGCGGCAGGCUUAACACAUGCAAGUCGAGCGGAGAUGAGGUGCUUGCACCUUAUCUUAGCGGCGGACGGGUGAGUAAUGCUUAGGAAUCUGCCUAUUAGUGGGGGACAACAUUCCGAAAGGAAUGCUAAUACCGCAUACGUCCUACGGGAGAAAGCAGGGGAUCUUCGGACCUUGCGCUAAUAGAUGAGCCUAAGUCGGAUUAGCUAGUUGGUGGGGUAAAGGCCUACCAAGGCGACGAUCUGUAGCGGGUCUGAGAGGAUGACGCGGCACAGUGGGACUGAGACACGGCCAAGACUACGACGGGAGGCAGCAGUGGGGAAUAUUGGACAAUGGGGGGAACCGUGAUCCAGCCAUGCCGCGUGUGUGAAGAAGGCCUUAUGGUUGUAAAGCACUUUAAGCGAGGAGGAGGCUACUGAGACUAAUACUCUUGGAUAGUGGACGUUACUCGCAGAAUAAGCACCGGCUAACUCUGUGCCAGCCGCCGCAGUAA